rnacentral:rRNA from 1 species
CCUACGGGAGGCAGCAGUGAGGAAUAUUGGACAAUGGGCGCAAGCCUGAUCCAGCCAUGCCGCGUGCAGGAUGACGGUCCUAUGGAUUGUAAACUGCUUUUGUACAGGAAGAAACACUGGUUCGUGAACCAGCUUGACGGUACUGUAAGAAUAAGGAUCGGCUAACUCCGUGCCAGCAGCCGCGGUAAUACGGAGGAUCCAAGCGUUAUCCGGAAUCAUUGGGUUUAAAGGGUCCGUAGGCGGUUUGGUAAGUCAGUGGUGAAAGCCCAUCGCUCAACGGUGGAACGGCCAUUGAUACUGCCAGACUUGAAUUAUUAGGAAGUAACUAGAAUAUGUAGUGUAGCGGUGAAAUGCUUAGAGAUUACAUGGAAUACCAAUUGCGAAGGCAGGUUACUACUAAUUGAUUGACGCUGAUGGACGAAAGCGUGGGUAGCGAACAGGAUUAGAUACCCUGGUAGUCCACGCCGUAAACGAUGGAUACUAGCUGUUGGGAGCAAUCUCAGUGGCUAAGCGAAAGUGAUAAGUAUCCCACCUGGGGAGUACGUUCGCAAGAAUGAAAACUCAAAGGAAAUUGA